CCAACUUUUCAAGGCUGUUCCCUUCCAAGCUGGGAUCCAGGCUCUUUCCAAUUUAUGGCUACACCACCUGGGAAAAAAGAGAUUCCAAAGACACAGAGAUAUACAUUUGAAGUACCAAAAAGAAAUGACUUAUUCCAAGGAUGUGUGACUAAGCAGAACUACUCACCCCCCAAGUCAAACUACAGACACUGGCAAGAUUGUUACCUGCAACCCAGCCGUCAUCCUAGUCUGCCGAGACCCGCUCAGCAGGAUGGCGCUGAAGAACAGGUGUUGUGAAACUUAA